UACGUAGGGGGCAAGCGUUAUCCGGAAUCACUGGGCGUAAAGGGUGCGUAGGCGGCCGAUUAAGUCUGGGGUGUAAGGCUACGGCUCAACCGUAGUAAGCCUUGGAAAAUUAUUGGCUUGAGUGCAGGAGUGGAGAGUGGAAUUCCUAGUGUAGCGGUGAAAUGCGUAGAUAUUAGGAGGAACACCAGUGGCGAAGGCGACUCACUGGACUGUAACUGCCGCUGAGGCACGAAAGCGUGGGGAGCGAACAGG
rnacentral:rRNA from 1 species